GGGCUUUGGACAGUGAUUUUAACCCUAAUGCCAAAAAACUUAAACCUUACCCUAUCCCCAAAACCUAAUACCCGGGUAUUACCCUCAGGAAGCCCAAACCCCAAAUAUUUUUUUCUUCAUUUUACAUUUUUGUUGGUGUAACCAACUCCAAAAGGUUGGAAUAGAGUUCCUACAAAGGUUUUGGACAGUGAUUUUAAACCUAACGCCAAAAACCUUAAACCUUACCUUAUCCCCAUAACCUAAUACCCGGGUAUUACCUUCACGAAGCCCGAAAACCCCAAAUGUUUUUUUUCUUUUUUCAUUUUUUAUUGGUCUAACUAACUCCAAAAGAUUGGAAAAGAGUUCUUACAAUGGUUUUGGACAGUGAUUUUAACCCUAAAGCCAAAAACCUUAAACCUUUCCGUAGCCCCAAAACCUAAUACCCGGGUAUUACUUUCAGGAAGCCCGAAAACCCCAAAUAUUUUUUUUUCUUUUUUCAUUUUUUUUGGUCUUACUAACUCCAAAAGGUUGGAAUAGAGUUCCUACAAAGCUUUUUCGACAGUGAUUUUAACCCUAACGCCAAAAACCUUAAACCUUUUUCUAGCCCCAAAACUUAAUACUCGGGUAUUACUUCCAGGAAGCCCGAAAACCCCAAAUAUCUUUUUUUUCUUUUUUCAUUUUUUAUUGGUCUAACUAACUCCAAAAGGUUGGAAAAGAGUUCCUACAAAAGGUUUUGGACAGUGAUUUUAACCCUAACGCCAAAAACCUUAAACCUUACCAUAGCCCCAUAACCUAAUACCUGAGUAUUACUUUUAGGAAGCCUGAACACCCCAAAUAUAUUUUUUUCAUUUUUCUUUUUUUUUGGUCUAACUAACUCCAAAAGAUUGGAAAAGAGUUCUUACAAUGGUUUUGGACAGUGAUUUUAACCCUAAAGCCAAAAAACCUUAAACCUUACCCUAUCCCCAAAACCUAAUACCCGGGUAUUACCUUCAGGAAGCCCGAAAACCCCAAAUAUUUUUUUUUCUUUUUUCAUUUUAAAUUUUUGUUGGUGUAACCAACUCCAAAAGGUUGGAAAAGAGUUCCUACAAAGGUUUUGGACAGUGAUUUUAAACCUAACGCCAAAAACCUUAAACCUUACCUUAUCCCCAUAACCUAAUACCCGGGUAUUACCUUCACGAAGCCCGAAAACCCCAAAUGUUUUUUUUCUUCAUUUAAAAUUUUUGUUGGUGUAACCAACUCCAAAAGGUUGGAAAAGAGUUCCUACAAGGGCUUUGGACAGUGAUUUUAACCCUAAUGCCAAAAAACUUAAACCUUACCCUAUCCCCAAAACCUAAUACCCGGGUAUUACCCUCAGGAAGCCCAAACCCCAAAUAUUUUUUUCUUCAUUUUACAUUUUUGUUGGUGUAACCAACUCCAAAAGGUUGGAAUAGAGUUCCUACAAAGGUUUUGGACAGUGAUUUUAAACCUAACGCCAAAAACCUUAAACCUUACCUUAUCCCCAUAACCUAAUACCAAAAACCUUAAACCUUACCUUAUCCCCAUAACCUAAUACCCGGGUAUUACCUUCACGAAGCCCGAAAACCCCAAAUGUUUUUUUUCUUUUUUCAUUUUUUAUUGGUCUAACUAACUCCAAAAUAUUGGAAAAGAGUUCUUACAAUGGUUUUGAACAGUGAUUUUAACCCUAAAGCCAAAAACCUUAAACCUUUCCGUAGCCCCAAAACCUAAUACCCGGGUAUUACUUUCAGGAAGCCCGAAAACCCCCAAUAUUUCUUUUUCUUUUUUCAUUUUUUUUUGGUCUAACUAACUCCAAAAGGUUGGAAAAGAGUUCCUACAAAGGUUUUGGACAGUGAUUUUAACCCUAACGCCAAAAACCUUAAACCUUACCAUAGCCCCAUAACCUAAUACCUGGGUAUUACCUUCAGGAAGCCCGAAAACCCCAAAUAUUUUUUUUUCAUUUUUCUUUUUUUUUUGUUCUAACUAACUCCAAAAGGUUGGAAAAGAGUUCCUACAAAGGUUUUGGACAGUGAUUUUAACCCUAACGCCAAAAACCUUAAACCUUACCAUAGCCCCAUAACCUAAUACCCGGGUAUUACCUUCAGGAAGCCCGAAAACCCCAAAUAUUUUUUUUUCAUUUUUCAUUUUUUUUUUGUCUAACUAGCUCAAAAAAAUUUGAAAAGAGUUCCUACAAAGGUUUUGGACAGUGAUUUUAACACUAACGCCAAAAAACUUAAACCUUUCCCUUACCCGAAAACUCAAAACCCGGGUAUUACUUUCAGGAAGCCCGAAAACCCCAAAUAUCUUUUUUUUUUUUUUCAUUUUUUAUUGGUCUAACUAACUCCAAAAGGUUGGAAAAGAAAUCCUACAAAGGUUUUGGACAGUGAUUUUAACCCUAAAGCCAAAAAACCUAAACCUUUCCCUAACCCGAAAACUUAAUACCCGGGUAUUACUUUUAGGAAGCCCGAAAACCCCCAAUAUUUCCUUUUCUUUUUUCAUUUUUUUUUUGGUCUAACUAACUCCAAAAGGUUGGAAAAGAGUUCCUACAAAGUUUUUGGACAGUGAUUUUAACCCUAAAGCCAAAAAACUUAAACCUUACCCUAGCCUUAAAAUCUUAUUACAUUCAGGAAGCCCGAAAACCCCAAAUAUUUUUUCUUCAUUUUUCUUUUUUUUUUUUGGUCUAACUAACUCCAAAAGGUUGGAAAAGAGUUCCUACAAAGGUUUUGGACAGUGAUUUUAACCCUUACGCCAAAAAACUUAAAUCUUACCCUAGCCUUAAAAUCUAAUACCCGGGUAUUACCUUCAGGAAGCCCGAAAACCAAAAAACCCCAAAUAUUUUUUUUUCUUUUUUCAUUUUUUUAUGGUCUAACUAACUCCAAAAGGUAUGAAAGGAGUUCCUACAAAUGUUUUGGACAGUGAUUUUAACCCUAACGCCAAAAACCUUAAACCUUACCACAGCCCCAAAUCCUAAUACCCGGGUAUUACCUUCAGGAAGCCUUGAAAACUCUAAAUAUUUAUUUUUUUCAUUUUUCUUUUUUUUUUUUUUGGUCUAACUAGCUCCAAAAAAUUGGAAACGAGUUCCUACAAAGGUUUUGGACAGUGAUUUUAACCCAAACACCAAAAACCUUAAACCUUACCAUAGCCCCAUAACCUAAUACCCGGGUAUUACUAUUAGGAAGCCUGAAAACCCCAAAUAUUUUUUUUUCAUUUUACAUUUUUGUUGGUGUAACCAACUCCAAAAGGUUGGAAAAGAGUUCCUACAAAGGUUUUGGACAGUGAUUUUAACCCUAUAGCCAAAAACCUUAAACCUUAUCAUAGCCCCACAACCUAAUACCCGUGUAUUACUUUUAGGAAGCCUGAACACCCCAAAUAUUUUUUUUUCAUUUUUCAUUUUUUUUGGUGUAACUAACUCCAAAAGGUUGGAAAAGAGUUCCUACAAAGGUUUUGGACAGUGAUUUUAACCCUAAUGCCAAAAACCUUAAACCUUACCCUAGCCUUAAAAUCUAAUUCCCGGGUAUUACCUUCAGGAACUCCGAAAACCCCAAAGAUUUUUUUUUCAUUUUUCAUUUUUUUUUUGGUCUAACUAACUCCAAAAGGUAUGAAAAGAGUUCCUAAAAAUGUUUUGGACAGUGAUUUUAACCCUAACGCCAAAAAACUUAAACCUUUCCGUAGCCAAAUAACCUAAUACCUGGGUAUUACUUUCAGGAAGCCUGAACACUCCAAAUAUUUUUUUUCAUUUUUCGUUUUUUUUUGGUCUAACUAACUUCAAAAGGUUGGAAAAGAGUUCCUACAAAGGUUUUGGACAGUGAUUUUAACCCUAAUGCCAAAAACCUAUAACCUAACCAUAGCCCCAUAACCUAAUACCCGGGUAUUACUUUUAGGAAGCCCGAACACCCCAAAUAUUUUUUUUUCAUUUUUCCUUUUUUUUUGUUCUAACUAACUCCAAAAGGUUGGAAAAGAGUUCCUACAAAGUUUUUGGACAGUGAUUUUAACCCUAAAGCCAAAAAACUUAAACCUUACCCUAGCCUUAAAAUCUUAUUACAUUCAGGAAGCCCGAAAACCCCAAAUAUUUUUUCUUAAUUUUUCUUUUUUUUUUUGGUCUAACUAACUCCAAAAGGUUGGAAAAGAGUUCCUACAAAGGUUUUGGACAGUGAUUUUAACCCUAACGCCAAAAACCUUAAACCUUACCACAGCCCCAAAUCCUAAUACCCGGGUAUUACCUUCAGGAAGCCUUGAAAACUCUAAAUAUAUAUUUUUUUCAUUUUUCCUUUUUUUUUUUGGUCUAACUAGCUCCAAAAAAUUGGAAAAGAGUUCCUACAAAGGUUUUGGACAGUGAUUUUAACCCUAAUGCCAAAAACCUUAAUCCUUACCAUAGCCCCAUAACCUAAUACCCGGGUAUUACUAUUAGGAAGCCUGAAAACCCCAAAUAUUUUUUUUUCAUUUUACAUUUUUGUUGGUGUAACCAACUCCAAAAGGUUGGAAAAGAGUUCCUACAAAGGUUUUGGACAGUGAUUUUAACCCUAACGCCAAAACCCUUAAACCUUUCCCUAGUCCCAAAACCUAAUACACGGGUAUUACUUUCAGGGAGCCCGAAAACCCCCAAUAAUACUUUUUUCUUUUUUCAUAUUUUUUGGUCUAACUAACUCCAAAAGGUUGGAAAAGAGUUCCUACAAAGGUUUUGGACAGUGAUUUUAACCCUAACGCCAAAAACCUUAAACCUUACCCUAGCCUUAAAAUCUAAUUCCCGGGUAUUACCUUCAGGAACUCCGAAAACCCCUAAGAUUUUUUUUUCAUUUUUCAUUUUUUUUUUGGUCUAACUAACUCCAAAAGGUAUGAAAAGAGUUCCUACAAAUGUUUUGGACAGUGAUUUUAACCCUAACGCCAAAAAACUUAAACCUUACCA